rnacentral:rRNA from 1 species
UUGCGGGGUGGAUCAGUGGCGAACGGGUGAGUAACACGUGAGCAACCUGCCCUGGACUCUGGGAUAAGCGCUGGAAACGGCGUCUAAUACUGGAUAUGAGACGCAACCGCAUGGUUAGUGUUUGGAAAGAUUUUUCGGUCUGGGAUGGGCUCGCGGCCUAUCAGCUUGUUGGUGAGGUAAUGGCUCACCAAGGCGUCGACGGGUAGCCGGCCUGAGAGGGUGACCGGCCACACUGGGACUGAGACACGGCCCAGACUCCUACGGGAGGCAGCAGUGGGGAAUAUUGCACAAUGGGCGGAAGCCUGAUGCAGCAACGCCGCGUGAGGGAUGACGGCCUUCGGGUUGUAAACCUCUUUUAGCAAGGAAGAAGCGGAAGUGACGGUACUUGCAGAAAAAGCGCCGGCUAACUACGUGCCAGCAGCCGCGGUAAUACGUAGGGCGCAAGCGUUAUCCGGAAUUAUUGGGCGUAAAGAGCUCGUAGGCGGUUUGUCGCGUCUGCUGUGAAAUCCCGAGGCUCAACCUCGGGCCUGCAGUGGGUACGGGCAGACUAGAGUGCGGUAGGGGAGAUUGGAAUUCCUGGUGUAGCGGUGGAAUGCGCAGAUAUCAGGAGGAACACCGAUGGCGAAGGCAGAUCUCUGGGCCGUAACUGACGCUGAGGAGCGAAAGGGUGGGGAGCAAACAGGCU